rnacentral:rRNA from 1 species
AUUGAACGCUGGCGGCAUGCCUUACACAUGCAAGUCGAACGAAGUCUUCGGACUUAGUGGCGCACGGGUGAGUAACACGUGGGAAUAUACCUUACGCUGGGGGAUAACAUCGGGAAACUGAUGCUAAUACCGCAUACGCCCUUCGGGGGAAAGAUUUAUCGGCGAAAGAUUAGCCCGCGUCCGAUUAGCUAGUUGGUGAGGUAAUGGCUCACCAAGGCUCCGAUCGGUAGCUGGUCUGAGAGGAUGACCAGCCACACUGGGACUGAGACACGGCCCAGACUCCUACGGGAGGCAGCAGUGGGGAAUAUUGGACAAUGGGCGCAAGCCUGAUCCAGCCAUGCCGCGUGAGUGAUGAAGGCCUUAGGGUUGUAAAGCUCUUUCACCCACGACGAUGAUGACGGUAGUGGGAGAAGAAGCCCCGGCUAACUUCGUGCCAGCAGGCGCAGUAA